UGACUCGGAUCAGGUAGGGAUACCCGCUG
rnacentral:rRNA from 1 species